rnacentral:tRNA from 2 species
UAUAUUUUAGUAUAAGAUGUAUUAAAGUUUUUGAUACUUUAGGUAAUAGUUUAAUUCUAUUAAAUAUAA